rnacentral:rRNA from 1 species
CCUACGGGAGGCAGCAGUGGGGAAUCUUGCGCAAUGGGCGAAAGCCUGACGCAGCAACGCCGCGUGCGGGAAGAAGGCCUUAGGGUUGUAAACCGCUUUCAGUAGGAACGAAAAUGACGGUACCUGCAGAAGAAGGUGCGGCCAACUACGUGCCAGCAGCCGCGGUGACACGUAGGCACCAAGCGUUGUCCGGAUUUAUUGGGCGUAAAGAGCUCGUAGGCGGUUCAGUAAGUCGGGUGUGAAAACUCUGGGCUUAACCCAGAGCCGCCACUCGAUACUGCUGUGACUUGAGUUCGGUAGGGGAGCAGGGAAUUCCUAGUGUAGCGGUGAAAUGCGCAGAUAUUAGGAGGAACACCGGUGGCGAAGGCGCUGCUCUGGGCCGAUACUGACGCUGAGGAGCGAAAGCGUGGGUAGCAAACAGGAUUAGAUACCCUGGUAGUCCACGCCGUAAACGUUGGGCACUAGGUGUGGGUUCCAACCAACGGAAUCCGCGCCGUCGCUAACGCAUUAAGUGCCCGCCUGGGGAGUACGGCGGCAACGCUAAACCUUAAAGGAAUUGACGGCNGAGACGNGCGAGCGACGACGAGGGAGAG